GCCGGGAGUUGUGGCGUGCUCCUGUAAUCCAGCUACUUGGAGGCUUGAAUAGGAGGACGGCUUGAGGGCGGGGGUUCUGCCUUCGGGCGUGCCAUGUCGAUCGGGUGUCCGCACUAAGCCCGGCAUCAAUAUGGUGAUCUUGGGGGAGCCCGAGAUCUCCAGGUUGACUAAGGAGAGACGCACCGGCUCAGGGGGGAAACCCAGCAGGCAAAAGUCUCCGUGUCGCGCAGUAGUGGGAUCGCACCCGUGAAUGGGCGUUCGUUGGCAGCCCGUCCGAUAUAGUCGGACCCUGUUCUUU
rnacentral:SRP_RNA from 1 species